GCUGCUGUGGAGUUCUGGUAAAGAGAGAUUUAAGCAAAUACUCACCUCCUGUCGUGUUAUAAAAUUCAGACUACACACAUUCCCGCGGUAAACAAGGAAAUAAACUAUCGCUCUGGCUGUGAAUAAAGGUUAGUUUCCUGUCGGAUAAAACAAAUGAACAGAUGUUCUAUAUUCCCACCCAGACUCCCUGGGUACCCCAGUAAUCGGCGAGCCGCCACUCACACUCACCCCUUGUCCUGCAGCCUCCUCCAUCUCCAAUGCUCUCUCAGUCACUCGUGGGAGUGUGGUUUGGAUAACCUAUACCUUCCUUUAGAAGCUUAUGUCACUCAAACUCAUACAUGAAAUAGCACUAACUCAGUAUCACACUCACUCAAUGUCUGUCACACUCAUUCCGUAUUGCACUCUAGCCGUGUCCCACUCACUUAGUACAACACUCACUUUGAGUAUACUCACACUUAGUAUACAUUCACUCACUGCCUUAUGUAAUAACACUAAGUUAAUCACUCACUCACUCUAUAACCCCCACUCACUCUCACUGUAACCCCACUCACUCACUCUCUGUAACCCCACUC